AAUGAACGCUGGCGGCGUGCCUAACACAUGCAAGUCGAACGAGAACGCUCCCUUCGGGGAGCAAGUACAGUGGCGAACGGGUGAGUAACGCGUGGAUAACGUACCCUUCUGUGGGGAACAACCAAGGGAAACUUUGGCUAAUACCGCAUAAGCUCUUCGGAGGAAAGGUUGCCUCUCUACGAUGCAAUCGCAGAAGGAGCGGUCCGCGUCCCAUUAGCUAGUUGGUGGGGUAAUGGCCUACCAAGGCGACGAUGGGUAGCCGGCCUGAGAGGGUGAUCGGCCACACUGGGACUGAGACACGGCCCAG
rnacentral:rRNA from 1 species